CAGACACCACCGAGCACAGGGCACCUCGGAAAGGCACUGGGGAUGCUGAGGGGGUCCUCGCCGGGAGGAGAGGAGAGUCUUAAGUGGGGAGGACAACUCACAGACCAAACAGCCAGGAGAACACAUUUCCACAGCAAGGCAGUGAGCCCCGGGAGACAGCUGAUGCCGCCUCCCGUUUGCAGCACAGACCAGCUUUUACUCUGUACGGUGGCAGAAGUAGCCGGCUUUGCUAAUUAAUUCAGGGCCAAGCAGGCUGGGAGACAGCAAACUGGCAAGACCCGGUUUUCUGAUUCCUGAUUCACACACCUGCGGCUCCCUCCUUCCAGAUCUGCCAGGCACUGUAUGAGCCGAACACCCCCCUCUUCCCAGAAAUGCCUUCGCUGAUUAAGGGGGCCACAAUGGAUCUCUAGAACCACAGGUGAUACAUUCCCCACACGGAAGGCCGUCAGAAAAGAAAAGCCACAAACGGAGAACAGGGAGAGAACAAGAUGCAGACAGUAAGCAGCAACAGAGCGGGAUAGAACCCCAGAGACCACUGUGCUCAGCGCACGUGCACACACCCACGUGCACAUGCUCACACAUGUGCACGUGUGCAGACACACAAACCCUGCGUGUACAUGCAUGUACACACGUGUGCACACAGGCACGCGCACCCAUGUGCAUGGCCCAGGGAGGUGCAAGGGCUUCACGCCCACAGAGCAGUUUGUGGCCGAGCAUCGCUCAGCAGCAAUUCCUGCCUCAGGAGCUGCCAGCGCCUUUCCAGGGCAUGACUUUUGGGUCUAAAACUGCCAGCCAGUGAGGGAAAAGGGUGUCAAGACCAAACACAUUCCUCUCCAGUCAUUUCUCUGCACUAAGCACAUAUGCCUUGUUGGCCUCCGCUCAAUUCCCUCUGGAACCUCCAAGAAACAUCAUCCCGGGAUAAAUCACGCUCCAGUGAUGAUGAAGGGGCUUGAGGUGCCACUGCAUCUGGUUCGAUCCCCAACUGCAAAUAAGGAUUCUGCAUCUCUGGGAGACCGUCUCCCCCCCUGCCGCCACUCUCCACUCCCGCUCCGUGGCUGUCACCAAGCCCGCCCUCCGUGCAAAGUGGCCGGCGUCAGCUCUUUGCCACCGCGCUCAGAAGCCCCAUCACCAGCAGGAUCCUCACCCAGUGGCCUGCCCAGGACGGGUGACAAAGCUCUGUAAGGAUUUCAGGCAGGCCCACAGGUUUUGUGGGGCCUGCACCAUUUCCCAGCGAACACACAGAAAGGAAGAAGGGGAGCGGGAUCAUCUGUCUGUCCGUUCAGUGUAGAAUUUAGGAACAGUUGGCACAAAUGUGUUCUCUUUGGCCCUGGUCUGCCUACCCCUGCCACGGAUCCUCCCCAGCUGGCCACGCCUUGGGCCACAGGGCUCCGUCUCCACGUACACACACGUCCCAACUGGUCCCUCCGCCCGCAGCACGCCCAAGGGGCAGGCCGUAUGGGGGGCACCCUGGAGCCGUGUCCCACACGCACGGGGUUCCCGCACAUCUGUCCUCACACCUCCAAUUCCCGCUUCCUAAUCUCUGCGCUCCGCGGGGCUCGAAUCACUGGGCUGUCUCCAUGCCCGCAACCCCUGCAGUUGCUAAUUCCUUUUCUCAAUAAGCUCACAGAGCACAUUUAAAUAUUUUUUUAUCCAAGAGACAAAUGUCUCUAUUAUAUAGGGGACCAUCUGGGCUUCUAUAGCUAGCUGGCUAUGUUGCUAUCAACUCUUUUUUUAGGGUUCAUGAAUCAGUUGCCAAUAAGAAAAAAAAAAAGGAAGUCAGCUCCAAGAUUCUGCUUUCCUCCCCUGCAUUUUUCCCCAGCGUCCAAAUGGACCCCAGGCAGGCGCAAACAGCAAAGGAGCCUAAGGCUGGUGCUCUGGAAAUGUCAGCCUCAAGUUCUCCUAGCCUCGGGGGAGGGAGGUGGUGUCAGCUAACUUCCCAGCCCUGGGGCCCUCCAACCGGGCUAAGUAAUAUUGUGUAGCCUCUGGCGGGUCUAGGAUACACGCCAAGAAGACGGAACAAAAGGAGAUCAAAAGCAAGAGAGGAAGAAGGACGGGAGGAGGGAGAGCGUGGUCAAGGCCCGGGAGCCCGAUGCCAGGGACUCCUUAUCCACCGCACACCUCGGAGCAGGCCAGCCCGUGGGAGCACCUGCGGGUGGCGGUAGGGAGCCGGGCUCCGGGCGCCAGGCUGCCCAAUCCCAAAAGGGAUUGGAAGGAGAGGCACAUAUUUAACGGGGAUUCGUGGUGUCCCGGCCUGCGGUUCCUCCCACAGUGUCAGGUGUCAUUCAGUCAGAAACGUGUGCCUAGCGCGGAGGACCCGGUCCAGCUCCAGUCUGGCCAAGCGGCUUCAACCCCACCCCCAACUCGGGCAGGUCCAGGCACUGGCCACCUGCAGGCAGGCCCGGGCUGGGGCUCUGGGCCACAAGCCCCCGGGUGCGGAGGGUCCGGGAAAUGUCUGUCUCCACCGCCCCCGCAAAGGCAUUCAGCCCAAACGGCAAAUGGGCACGCGGGCACUCCCCGCCCCCCACACCUGCCAUCAACCCUUCCCCCCGGUGGCACAGAGAAAAGCAAACCCAUCCUCCCCAGAGGCCUGGCCAGAAAAGCGGGGGGUUUUCCCUGCUGUGGAAUAUUUUUGGUUGUGGUGGUAACUGUGUGAGAGACAGAGACACAGACAGGCAAGCAAACAGACAGAGGGCAGUUACAGUUUUACCAAUCUGAGGGUCUUUUAAACCAUUUUUGUGACUCAAGGGAGCUCAAAGGAGCUAGAAAAUGAAGCCAUCCUGUGAAUCGGCCCGUGAGCUGACAGCCUCCUUGCCCCCGGCCCCCCACCCCCCCCCCAGAGGCCACCAAGGCCUCUGCACCUCCCGUCCACAUGGGAGCAUAAAUGCAAAUCGGGUUUUAUUGAACGACGACGACAUUCUCACCAGAUCCCUUGGUCCCUCACUCCGGUGCGUUCCCCAGUUCUCAGGCAAAUACGGCUACCUCUUCCUGAUGAAGCCACCCGGGGCCCUCGCCCCGGCAAAGCCAAGAGCCGUUUACAGGACCCGAAGCUGAGACUUGAAAAGAUACUCUACAACUGACUCGCCUAAAAGACUGAGGACCCCAGAGUAACACAGCAAAACAGAGCAGAUAAUUCCGCCCACGAGUACAUUGGGGCGCUCGGAACUGUCAAUGGUCGCAAGGGAUAGCAGGCAGAGGCCACUGGCAGGGGCCACAGGUCAAGACCGAGUCCAGAGCCAGCGCAGCCAAGGCUGAGGACCGAGAGAGGUCUGCCUGUGGAAGUAGGGGAACCAUAGAAAGUGAACGGAAUCCCCACGGGAUGCUGCGUUGCCGAAGCAGGGAGAACAGGGCGUCAGAGACCCCGGGCACCCGAGCUCUCCGCGGCGCUGCUCACAGAAGCAGCUGCAGGUGGACCCUGCAGAGGAAGGGACAAGCAAACUGUGAGAUGCACAAUGGAAUGCCCUCCAACCCUAAGAAGUAACGAGACGGCACCUGCCCCCACACGCAGGAGUCUCCAGGGCGCCUCCUGGAGCCAGCCAGACGGACAGA